UCGCCUGUUUAUCAAAAACAUAGCCUAAAGGAUUACAUUUUAGGUAAUGCCUGCCCGGUGAUUACAUCAAUUAAACGGCCGCAGUACUCUGACUGUGCAAAGGUAGCAUAAUAAGUUGUCUUUUAAAUGAAGACUGGAAUGAAGGGAUAAAUGGGAGGAAGCUGUCUCUUUUAUACUUUGUAAAACUUUAUUUAGGGGUGAAAAUACCCCUAAAAAACAGAAGGACGAGAAGACCCUAAGAGCCUCCGCUACUUUUAGCGUAACUAGUGCUGAAUUAGCUUUUGUUGGGGCAACAUAGUAUAAUUAAUACAAAAAUACUUUAUUAAUAUUUUACAUGACGAUAUGUGUGUGCUAGUUUCUAUAAACUGGUAACAUAUUAUAAGUAAGAAAAGGCUACCUUAGGGAUAACAGCUUAAUACUAAACUAUUUGUGUUUGAGACCUCGAUGUUGGACUAGGGACUUUAUGGCCAGAAGUCAAAUAAGCUCUGUUCUGUUCGAACAGUUUUACCCUACAUGAUCUGAGUUCAGACCGGAGG
rnacentral:rRNA from 1 species